GACAGAGGAGCCAAGCGUUGUCCGGAUUGACUGGGCGUAAAGCGCACGCAGGCGGCUGUGCACGUGGGGUGUGAAAGCUGGCGGCUUAACUGCCAGACGCCACCUCAUACGGCACGGCUCGAGCCCGUGAGAGGUCCACGGAAUUGCCGGUGUAGUGGUGAAAUGCGUAGAGAUCGGGAGGAACACCAGAGGCGAAAGCGGCGACCUGGACAGGUACUGACACUCAACUACGAAAGCGUGGGGAGCAAACAGG
rnacentral:rRNA from 1 species